ensembl:miRNA
UGUUAAUUCAGGGAAUUGUAAACAAUUCCUAGGCAAUAUGUAUAAUGUUUGUAAGUCAUUCCUAGAAAUUGUUCACAAUGCCUGUAAGA